GGUGCGGUAGUUUAGUGGAAAAACAGUAUCACCCCACUGAUAUUAGACGGCGGUUCGAUCCCGCCCCGCACCA
rnacentral:tRNA from 1 species